rnacentral:lncRNA from 1 species
UCAAUAUGGAAUGCGCUCAUGGAUAAAUAAAUACCUGAGAUUGAUGGGAAACCAGGAGCGUUUCAAGCUUCAGCAGUAGCAACAUGAAAGAUCACGAAGACAACAUCAGCUAUGCAAUGCUGAUGGCUCAAGGCCCUUGUUUCAAUCCUAAGCAAAUAACAGUUCCAAGGCCCUUGUUUCCUGCUGAGGCAGGAAACGAACAGCUAUCUUCUCCAAAACUUGAAAUUAAACCUCUCACGAGCGUACAUAAAGUAUUUCCUGUUCGCAAAGCAGGGACAUUAUUAGCAUGUUCUAUAUUUAACUAACGAGUUAUCUCCCAAAAAAAGAAACAAGAUUUUUAUGACUAAAGCUCCAAUGACAAGAUGUAUCUCUCUACCUGAUCGCUGUUGGAAAAUUUGUCGAUGACAUCCUACUAGGCAAAUAGGGCACCAGGUACCUCAAGCUUGGCAUGAUAGGGCACCAGGUACCUCACGCUUUAAUUGUGUGCAGCAGCUGGCUUGACUUUAGGUACAACCGGUCAAUCAUAGGACAGUUUUAAGACAUGGCUCCCAAUUCAGCAUCUAGACAUUUGAAGCAGUGCAUGCUAAUGUCUGAUCUCUAUAUUGGUAACGUUACCCGAAAGAAUGUUACCUAUCGUGCAUGCUAAUUUUGAUCUUUACUUUGG